rnacentral:snRNA from 1 species
AUACUACGGUUUCUCUUCAAAACGUAUACAUCUUUCGCCUUUUA